rnacentral:rRNA from 1 species
GAUCAUGGCUCAGAUUGAACGCUGGCGGCAUGCUUUACACAUGCAAGUCGGACGGCAGCGGGGAAGUGCUUGCACUUCUGCCGGCGAGUGGCGAACGGGUGAGUAAUGCAUUGGAACGUACCGGGUAAUGGGGGAUAACUUGCCGAAAGGUAAGCUAAUACCGCAUACGCUUUAAGAAGGAAAGCGGGGGAUCAUCUGACCUCGCGUUAUCCGAGCGGCCAAUGUCUGAUUAGGUAGUUGG